AUUUCCCCAUUUCCUCAUCUCUCACUUCUCUCGGUAGCUAUGCUUCUCUCUGAAAUUUCCGAUCGCGUGUGUUGCUUACCGGAAAUGAAAUCACUCAGAUUUGUAUAUGAUACUCUCUAUCUCUCGGUCGUCUUGUCUUUCUCUAUUUUGAAGUGAAUUUGCGUGGGCUUCCAGAUGGAGUGAAUUUGCGUCGUCUAGUCUCUCACUAAUUUUUAGCAUCUGCACGGGUACAAUGUCGACCGAGAUGAAGAUUCAAAAGUUGAGUUCAUAAAUUUGAAGAAAGAUGAGUUUUUAAUUAUUUCUGUUUAUUUGAAUGUGACUAUACUUUGAUCUAUUCUGCAGAUGAGGGUUUUAUAUUGAUUUACUUACCUAAAAAAGUUUUAACUGUGUAUUUAUAUUGUAUUUUACUUGCAGCUGCAGAUUAUAAAGCUAAAUGCAGAUAUCCCAAUGAAAAUUAUAAAGCUAAAUGCUGAAAUUUGUGUUCAGAACUGAGAUAAAUGCUGAAGGUGAAAACAUAUGAAACUUUAUAUGAAUCAAGAGGUGUGGAAUUUUGAAUUCAAAUUCGUGUUGGAAGACUAAAAGAGUGAGUAACAUACCAGCAUUCCCACAUUCUGUAGAUUAAUGGGAAAAAAAUCUUACAUGUUCGUCGUGGAAGAUGACUUCUUUGCUCUUUUUUUCGGAAGAGCCUUCCCUUUCCACAACCAAAAUUAAUGGGAAAAAAAAAUAUCUUACCCGUUCAUCGUGGAAGAUGACUUAUUUGCUCCUUUUUUCGGAAGAGCCUUCCCUUUCCACGACCGAAGUAUGGCUCUAACCUUCAUAGCACUCCUGAUUCGCCAGACAUUACAUUCCCAUCGUCGAAAGCAAUAAUGCAAAUGAAAGCAAAUAAAAAAUUUUGGGAGGGUUUUACACUGAUAGUUAAGCCUUUAUAUAAUGUGUGUAAUAUAAGUCUGAGAGUGAAAGAGUUCUAGAUGUAUAUUAAUUAGUUUUGAAUUCCCGAUAAUGGUUUCCUUGAUUCUCGAAGUUGACGAUUCGAUUUCCUAAGAAAUUACAAUUAAUUCCUUUAGAUUAUUGUCCUAAAUAUCUACUUUUGUUGCCUUUAAUACUUCUAGAGCCGAAUUUUUUAAAGCUGCUCAGAAUAGUCAUGCAAAACGUCGCCGUUUCUAAGUGGGCGGGAACUUGGCGAAAACUGCAUUUAAUGCUGCUCUUGUUGCUAUUUUAUAUAUAGAGAUAGAGAUAGAGAUAGAGAUAGAGAAGAGAUAGAGAUUUAGUGUGGAUAUUAUGUGUGGAUUAUAUAACUGUUGUAACGGUCAUUGUCAUUAUUCCUUUUCAGUUACAUCUGUAAUUAUAUAAACAUCCCUUGUACUAUGAAGAUGAAGAUUGUAUUUAUGUAUCAA